rnacentral:rRNA from 1 species
AUGAACGCUAGCGGGAGGCCUAACACAUGCAAGCCGAGCGGUAGAGAUCUUUCGGGAUCUUGAGAGCGGCGUACGGGUGCGGAACACGUGUGCAACCUGCCUUUAUCAGGGGGAUAGCCUUUCGAAAGGAAGAUUAAUACCCCAUAAUAUAAGAAACGGCAUCGUUUUUUAUUGCAAACUCCGGUGGAUAGAGAUGGGCACGCGCAAGAUUAGAUAGUUGGUGAGGUAACGGCUCACCAAGUCUACGAUCUUUAGGGGGCCUGAGAGGGUGAUCCCCCACACUGGUACUGAGACACGGACCAGACUCCUACGGGAGGCAGCAGUGAGGAAUAUUGGACAAUGGGUGGGAGCCUGAUCCAGCCAUCCCGCGUGAAGGACGACGGCCCUAUGGGUUGUAAACUUCUUUUGUAUAGGGAUAAACCUACCCUCGUGAGGGUAGCUGAAGGUACUAUACGAAUAAGCACCGGCUAACUCCGUGCCAGCAGCCGCGGUAACAC